CAAAAUUGCUACAUGCCUCCGUUUUGGCCAGAGUCAUCACUUCUGCAUCUAAAAGCAGAUAUGCAUUUUGUUUGGUAGGUCCAUAUAUUCCCUACAAUGCUUGGUCCCUAUGCUCAGGACAACAUUACAGAUGCCCUUUUGCACGGCCUAUGCAGUCUCCUGGAGGAACUCCAAAAUCCUAUUGAUCAUCCCCGGGACCUCUGAGCCUCAUCUCCAUUGCACAAAGUUGAACAAACUAGGGGGAAUACCUACCGUGUUAGCAAAGUCCUGCAAUAAAGUACAAGGUGAGGACUCCCAGCAGACCUGGGGAAUCUAAGAGGAAAGAUCUCUCCAUCCCUUGCACCACUCCUGCAAAGGAGAAUGACAUAUCUCCCACUGUGUGGCACCCUCCUCGGACAACUCAGCUCCCAGCAGGAAAUGGUGCUUGUACCCUUGUGUAGAGUCUGUCCCUACUUCUGCAAGUCAAGAAAUGAGGAUACCAUGUGAGCUGUUGACCAACUACGAGCACUCAACUCAGUUGCUGGGAGUGCCAGGACCCCAAGAGCACUGGGCACACGGCACAGCCUCAGCACCCAGUAAGCAUUAGCGCACAUGUGUACAGCAGGUAUGCCUAGGAAGCUCCCCUCUGUUUGGGUGACAACCCCCCCCGGGAACGCUGGGUAGCACAUCACAUCCCCCAAUUCUGCUGGGACAAACUCCCGAGUGCAAAGAAGGAUGCAGCUGGGGAAACAAAUCCCUGCAAGGAGAGAGUUCAUCUGUUUCCAGGCACUGGAAGGCAGUGCCUGACUGUCUCACACUCUUGCACCCAGGGACACCCGCUGGCCUCGGCGCCGGCCACUAACUCUCGAAGGCUGAAAACCCAGAAAUUUUGAAAAAACUCUGCAUCCUCAGAUGUUUUGAACGGACAGCUAAGGAUCUGUUUUAAUGGGGUGGUGGUGGUGGGGAGUAUUGAAGAAAAAUCCCUAACAACAACGUCAUCAGCACUGCAGAAACACAGCCUAUCAUUCACGCUGGAAAAUUAAAGCUGUUGAUCACGUGUUUUGCAUAAAAGCGAAAGAAACCUCAAACCCUGCAUGUGAAAACCACAUCUGCAUUAUUAGGGGAAGGCAACAUGGAGGAGAGUGCUUCGCAGAAAAAUAGCCGUUUCUGAGUGUUUCUUGAUAAGAGAGAGAUGUAGAGUACUGACAAGAGGCUGUGAGAGUUUCACAGGAAAGGUGCAGGCUGAAUCAGCUAAUAUCAACCACACACGCCUCCAGCUUUCUGUGAUCAUGCGAGCCUGCCAGAGACCUGGAAAAUGAGUGCUGCCUCUUAUCAGACCUAAACCAGAACCUUCACAGAAGAUUUCAAUCCAAGAACUCAGAUUUGAGAUCUUCAGUGUGCUACGACCAAUCUAACCAUAAAAUAAAAGAUACUUUCCUCAGACUGGCUCAAGGCAAGCAGAACUCCUUUUAGAGCCUAGAAAGGUUUUCAAUCUUGAAGGCAUCAAUGAGUCUGCUCAGCUUUUCUAGUGAGCAUGAUGAGCUUUAUGGCACUUUGUAUCACACCCCUGAGUAACUGCUUCGUAAGUCACAUGGAUGAGUCCCUAUGCAUUGAAGAGGACUGCAAUCCAAGGGUUUUGCAGGUAUAAAAAACCAACCACUAGUAUGAAAGCAGAAGAGAGAAACAGGGGUUUACAAAGUAUUUGUGAAUGGUCCAUUUAUUCUUCCACAACUACAAGAGACGUGCUCUCUUGGUGACUGUAGGCAACACAGAGCCCAGCAUCACUUGCUUCCAGUGUGACCUACGCCCACAGACACCUAACUGUCAUGCACGCUUGGGUCUCCUCUGUCAAAUAAACAACAUCCUACAAAGCACAUCUGGUGAACGACGACCUAAGCUGCCAGUGUGGAACCCAACAGCUGGCUUGGGUGCAAGAGGAAGCUCUGAGACACUUGGGACUGUAAUGAUGGAGGGAUAGAACCAAAUAUCCACAAUCUGAUCAGUCAGUCAAAACAAUCAAUAACAUUUGUCUGCAACACAAAGGCAGGGAAAAAUCCCCAUCCGACACGCACAGCAACUCACUCAAUUUGCUCUGCUGCUUCGCUUGAUCUCCAGUAACUUUUCUAGUGGCAUUACAUGCAACUUCUGCGUGCUCCCAAGUCCUUAUGUUGGAAAUGUUUCCUGAAAAUGUGGGCGAUCAACCUUUCCCUCCAUGAGGAAGGCAGCAUCUCCCUUGGAGUGGCCAACAUGUAAGGCACUGAAAGAAGGUGGAAAGCUGCCUACUCAACAUAGCUCUGCUGAACCGCCUCGUGCACAGGCAAGUACAAUCUCUUUCCAACCCCACCAAAGCAACUGUUUAUGUCCAGGAGCAAGAGAUUGGACUUCCCUUCUCUGAGCCUGAAAUUGCACAGUUUUCAUUAACACUUGCUUGCCUAAAAAAAUAAAGCAAAAAACCACAACAAAAAGCAAAAAUAAAUUUUAAAAAAAACAAAAAAAAAAAGAGGGAGCUGUUUCUAAAAAACAUACCAAACCAAAACAACAAUCCAUUUCUAGUAUUUCAUUCAAUGCAUGCUGGCUUCACAAGCCCUGGAAGUUAUUAUCUACAUGGGAAGAAUAAGAAAUCAACAGUUCUGACCAGCAACAAUGGCUGCAGAGAAAGAGUGUUUGGCAGCAGCUUGCAGGCAGGGAGGAGGGAAAGAAUGCAAUGAAGAAGAGGAAUGCAACGCUCUGCAUGACCUACAACACUAACAGCACCCUGCAUUGUGGACCACUCCAUUAUUUUGAUCACAACCACAACUUGCUUAAUUGGUAUUCCUAAAAAAUGACAGAAGACAAGUGUUUGCAUCAAUUAGCUGUUGUUUCUUAUUUUUCCUUCAGUAUGUUUUGCUCAAAUCUUUCAGCUUUCAUAACUGGAAUGCUGUUGUAAAAAUUAAGAUAGGUACCAAAGAAAAAUCAGAUGCUUAUUUUAUUUAUUUAGUUGCUGGAGACAUACCCUCUGGUUUAAAUCACGAUGGAUUAUCUGACUAAACUGUUGGGGGCAUAUUUACCAUAUCUUUAAGAAGCCUCUCUCUUUCUCCCUCUUUCCCUAAUUCUUUACAAAACGCUUUGAAGGCUCUCCGAAUUAAUUUUUUCAUUAUUAAACAAGCAUUUCAGAUUUGUU